CUAAGGAGCAUUCUCCAGGCAGGCCGUCAGAGGAUGGAUCUUGUUCUGGCAGAGGCUGUUUGAGCUCCCAUUCGUGGAGCCGCAGUUGCUCAUGGGUGGAACACUGACAACUUUCAUCGCAUACGAGCUCGGCAAAGUCUGAGUUCGCGAUGGGUAUACCGACACACUAUUGGGUCCUGAAAGAACACGCGAGUGAUCUUUCCAGGCAAGAACGACGAGACUGGUUCUUCAGUCAUACCGCCGGCCGUUUGGUCGGGCUGGUGCUGAGUAGAGAACGAGUCUUGUGUGUUGUUUGAGAACUGCACAGUGGACGCGAGCAUCUUUGUUAGUAAGUGUUUAAGAGCGUAC
rnacentral:misc_RNA from 1 species